AGCCCGGUGGUGUAGUGGUAGCACAGAGGUCUUUGGAACCUCUAGCCCAGGUUCGAACCCUGGCCGGGCUGCCA
rnacentral:tRNA from 1 species